AACGAACGCUGGCGGCAUGCCUAACACAUGCAAGUCGAACGAGACCUUCGGGUCUAGUGGCGCACGGGUGCGUAACGCGUGGGAACCUGCCCUUAGGUUCGGAAUAACUCCCCGAAAGGGGUGCUAAUACCGGAUAAUGUCUUCGGACCAAAGAUUUAUGGCCUUUGGAUGGGCCCGCGUUGGAUUAGCUAGUUGGUAGGGUAAAAGCCUACCAAGGCGACGAUCCAUAGCUGGUCUGAGAGGAUGAUCAGCCACACUGGGACUGAGACACGGCCCAGACUCCUACGGGAAGCAGCAGUGGGGAAUAUUGGACAAUGGGCGAAAGCCUGAUCCAGCAAUGCCGCGUGAGUGAUGAAGGCCUUAGGGUUGUAAAGCUCUUUUACCCGGGAUGAUAAUGACAGUACCGGGAGAAUAAGCUCCGGCUAACUCCGUG
rnacentral:rRNA from 1 species